rnacentral:lncRNA from 1 species
UUCCACAUGCCCUUUAUCAUGCUCCAUGCCAUGAACUAGUAGUAUAUGGGUUGAACAACCAUCGAACCAAAGUUGUAAGUAAAUGCUAUGUUUGGUAAUUCAAUUCUAAUUUUGUCAAGUAAAUUUGACAAUCAGUUCUAUUUUCAAAACUUGAAAUUGAGUUGUCAGCAUAGUACAGCUCCAUCGCAAUAUUACAAUUACUUAAUUUUUCUUUCUUCUUCUUCUUCUUCUUUUAGUACAUGUUACAACUUACAUGUAGAGGCCGUUGCAAAUAGUAAACUGUACGUGAGGAGCUGGAUGGUCCAUAGACUUCCUCAUAGCUACUACUCACUUUGUUCCUAUGAUUGUAGCAUCCACCUGCAGGGCAAAACCCAAAAACUUGUGCCUUAACGAAGCCAAAACCAAAUGCAAUAAAAGGGCAGAGUAUCCCCCCUCAAACAGCAUACACAUACCAAAUCCGAAGAUGUUUAUAUAUUUAGCAGGUGCGCGCAGCACUAAAGGCCAAUAGGUCUGGCAUAAGCAUCAAGUAAGUCAAGCUUAAUUCUUGUUCAUCUCCAUCAAAGGCUCACUUGAAACCAUAUGUCAUUUUUAAACUCAGCUCAGUCAUAUGGGAAUAUCUUGUGUUAGCUUGAACAAAAAUUCAGUAAGCUCGUGAGCUCUAAUAUAGAAAAAGCAAGCUACACCAAUUAUAGUACGAAUAAAAUCAAGUUUAAAGUUGCUCAAGCUAUGUCAGGAGGGAAGUGGGCCAAAAUCCAUUUUCAUCAUAGCUCUUCAAUUUAGCUAGAUGAGCAAGAACAGCACGCUACGGACCCAGUUCGACUUGAUUACAGCUCUACAAGAUGAUAAUAGCUUUACAAGCCUGGAAGGAUAAACCAGACCUAGGUAUAAUUUAGUUCAUCUUUUAUGCGAGCAAUAAUUGAAGAAAAUUAACUUAUUAAAGAAAUGAAAAAUAAAGAUUAUCUAAAAAAAAGAAUUCCUAUAAGUUUCCAUACUUCUUCAAUUCUCUCUAAUAAGCUAAAAGAUAUAAAAUGUACCUUGAAGGGGACCAGCCAAAGCAUAGGUGGUGUUGAACUCAGGAUGUAGAAGGUGCAGAGUAU